rnacentral:rRNA from 1 species
ACGCUCGACACCUACGGAGGCAGCAGUGGGGAAUAUUGCACAAUGGGGGAAACCCUGAUGCAGCGACGCCGCGUGAAGGAAGAAGUAUCUCGGUAUGUAAACUUCUAUCAGCAGGGAAGAAAGUGACGGUACCUGACUAAGAAGCCCCGGCUAACUACGUGCUAGCAGCCGCGGUAAUCUGAGCGGGCUGGCAAGGC